AGAGUUUGAUCAUGGCUCAGGAUGAACGCUGGCGGCGUGCCUAAUACAUGCAAGUCGAACGGGGAGAGUAAUCUCCCAGUGGCGGACGGGUGAGUAACACGUAGGUCAUCUGCCCUCUGGUUGGGGAUAACGGCCUGAAAAGGUCGCUAAUACCGAAUGUGGUCGCGCUAUGUAGCAAGGCGCGCAGAAAGGCUUCGGCCACCAGAGGAAGAGCCUGCGGCCCAUCAGCUGGCUGGUAGGGUAAUGGCCUACCAGGGCGACGACGGGUAGCCGGCCUGAGAGGGCGACCGGCCACACUGGGACUGAGAUACGGCCCAGACUCCUACGGGGGGCAGCAAUUAGGAAUCUUGCACAAUGGGGGAAACCCUGAUGCAGCGACGCCGCGUGAGGGAUGACGGAUUUCGGUCUGUAAACCUCUUUUAUCGGGGACGAAGAAUGUGACGGUACCCGAAGAAUAAGCCCCGGCUAACUACGUGCCAGCAGCCGCGGUAAUUC
rnacentral:rRNA from 1 species